CUUUGGACUUUGCUCACACCAGUAAGGUUGAUAGGCCAGUCAGAAUGUUCUCUUUCAGGUAUACAAUGUCAGAACUGCUGGACAUGUUUAACCCCUUAAGGACACAUGACAUGUGUGACAUGUCAUGAUUCCCUUUUAUUCCAGAAGUUUGGUCCUUAAGGGGUUAGAUGCAAGGCUUAAAGGACCCCUCUAGGCACCCAGACCAGGUCCAGCUAGAGAAACUGCUAUGUUUAUAAUAGG